AAAGGGCCGCGGUAUACUGACCGUGCGAAGGUAGCAUAGUCACUAGUCUUUUAAUUGAAGGCUUGAAUGAAUGGUCGGACGAGACAUCAGCUGUCUUUGUUUUGAAUUAAAAUUUAACUUUUGAGUGAAAAGGCUUAAAUCAUUAAGAGGGACGAUAAGACCCUAUAAAACUUAAUACCUUUAGUUUGAUUUAAAAAUCUAGUUUAAAUUAUAUGAGACUUGUUGGUAUUUUGUUGGGGAGACAAAAAUAUAAUUGUAACUGUUUGUAUAAGGAAAUAUUUAUUUAUAGACAAUGAUCCUUUAUUAAAGAUUAAAAGGUUAAGUUACUUUAGGGAUAACAGCGUAAUUUCUUUUGAGAGUUCUUAUCGACAAAGAUAGUUGCGACCUCGAUGUUGAAUUAAAAUUUUAAUUGGGUGCAGGAGCUCGAUUGGUAGGUCUGUUCGACCUUUAAAAUUUUACGUGAUCU
rnacentral:rRNA from 1 species